rnacentral:tRNA from 1 species
UGGGAUGUCGCCAAGUGGUUAAGGCACCAGGUUUUGAUCCUGGCAUUCGGAGGUUCGAAUCCUCCCAUCCCAG